UACGUAGGGACCAAGCGUUGUUCGGAUUUACUGGGCGUAAAGGGCGCGUAGGCGGCAAUUCAAGUCAUCUGUGAAAUCUCCGGGCUUAACUCGGAACGGUCAGAUGAUACUGCUUUGCUAGAGUGCGGAAGGGGUAAUCGGAAUUCUUGGUGUAGCGGUGAAAUGCGUAGAUAUCAAGAGGAACACCUGAGGUGAAGACGGGUUGCUGGGCCGACACUGACGCUGAGUGCGCGAAAGCCAGGGGAGCAGACGGG
rnacentral:rRNA from 1 species